rnacentral:rRNA from 1 species
GACGAACGCUGGCGGCGUGCUUAAUACAUGCAAGUCGAACGGACAGACGCUGCGUUUGUGGGGUGCUCGAGUGGCGAAGGGGUGAGUAACACGUGAGUAACAUGCCCUUGACUUUGGGAUAACUUCAGGAAAAUGCGGCUAAUACCGGAUAGGAUCUACUGCUGCAUGGGGUGGGUUGGAAAGUUUCGGCCGUUGGGGCUGGACUCGCGGCUUAUGAGCUGGUUUGUCGGGUAGUGGCUGACCAAGGCUUUGACGGGUAGCCGGCAUGAGAGGGUGGCCGGGGUCAUGAGGCCUGAGAUACGGCGCAGAAGCCUACGUGCGGCAGCAGUGGGAAAUAUUGCGCAACGGGCGGAAGUGAGAUGUAGCGAUGCUGCGUGCGGGAUGAUGGGCUACGGGUUAUAAACAGCUUUGUCCUGUGACGAAGCCUUCGUGACGGUAAUGGGUAAGAAAGCACCGGCUAACUACGUG